rnacentral:rRNA from 1 species
AGUGAACGCUGGCGGUAGGCCUAACACAUGCCAGUCGAACGGCAGCACAGUAAGAGCUUGCUCUUACGGGUGGCGAGUGGCGGACGGGUGAGGAAUACAUCGGAAUCUACUUUUUCGUGGGGGAUAACGUAGGGAAACUUACGCUAAUACCGCAUACGACCUACGGGUGAAAGCAGGGGAUCUUCGGACCUUGCGCGAUUGAAUGAGCCGAUGUCGGAUUAGCUAGUUGGCGGGGUAAAGGCCCACCGAGGCGACGAUCCGUAGCUGGUCUGAGAGGAUGAUCAGCCACACUGGAACUGAGACACGGUCCAGACUCCUACGGGAGGCAGCAGUGGGGAAUAUUGGACAAUGGGCGCAAGCCUGAUCCAGCCAUACCGCGUGGGUGAAGAAGGCCUUCGGGUUGUAAAGCCCUUUUGUUGGGAAAGAAAAGCAGCAGGUUAAUACCCCGCUGUCCUGACGGUACCCAAAGAAUAAGCACCGGCUAACUUCGUG